rnacentral:misc_RNA from 1 species
GAUGAAGAACGUAGCGAAAUGCGAUAAGUAAUGUGAAUUGCAGAAUUCAGUGAAUCAUCGAGUCUUUGAACGCACAUUGCGCCCCCUGGUAUUCCGGGGGGCAUGCCUGUCCGAGCGUCAUUGCUGCCCUCAAGCACGGCUUGUGUGUUGGGCCCCCGUCCCCGGUUUCCCCCGGGGACGGGCCCGAAAGGCAGCGGCGGCACCGCGUCCGGUCCUCGAGCGUAUGGGGCUUUGUCACCCGCUCUGUAGGCCCGGCCGGCGCCAGCCGACACCCAACUUUAUUUCUAAGGUUGAACUCGGAUCAGGUAGGGAUACCCGCUGAACUUAAGCAUAUCAAUAAGCGGAGGA